rnacentral:rRNA from 1 species
AGUGAACGCUGGCGGUAGGCCUAACACAUGCAAGUCGAACGGCAGCACAGUAAGAGCUUGCUCUUACGGGUGGCGAGUGGCGGACGGGUGAGGAAUACAUCGGAAUCUACUUUUUCGUGGGGGAUAACGUAGGGAAACUUACGCUAAUACAGCAUACGACCUACGGGUGAAAGCAGGGGAUCUUUGGACCUUGCGCGAGUGAAUGAGCCGAUGUCGGAUUAGCUAGUUGGCGGGGUAAAGGCCCACCAAGGCGACGAUCCGUAGCUGGUCUGAGAGGAUGAUCCGCCACACUGGAACUGAGACACGGUCCAGACUCCUACGGGAGGCAGCAGUGGGGAAUAUUGGGCAAUGGGGGAGAGCCUGAUCCAGCCAUACCGCGUAGGUGAAGAAGGCCUUCGGGUUGUAAAGCCCUUUUGUUGGGAAAGAAAAGCAGCAGGUUAAUACCCCGCUGUUCUGACGGUACCCAAAGAAUAAGCACCGGCUAACUUCGUG